UACGAAUGGGGCGAGCGUUGUUCGGAAUCACUGGGCGUAAAGAGUGCGUAGGCGGUUAUGAAAGUUAGAAGUGAAAGCCCAGGGCUCAACCUUGGAAUUGCUUUUAAAACUACAUAACUCGAAUUUGGGAGAGGAUAGCGGAAUUGUCAGUGUAGCGGUAAAAUGCGUAGAUAUUGACAGGAACACCAGUGGCGUAAGCGGCUAUCUGGACCAACAUUGACGCUGAGGCACGAAAGCGUGGGGAUCAAACAGG
rnacentral:rRNA from 1 species